rnacentral:rRNA from 1 species
AGAGCGAACGCUGGCGGCAGGCUUAACACAUGCAAGUCGAGCGGGCGUAGCAAUACGUCAGCGGCAGACGGGUGAGUAACGCGUGGGAACAUACCUUUGGUUCGGAACAACACAGGGAAACUUGUGCUAAUACCGGAUAAGCCCUUACGGGGAAAGAUUUAUCGCCGAAAGAUUGGCCCGCGUCUGAUUAGCUAGUUGGUGAGGUAACGGCUCACCAAGGCGACGAUCAGUAGCUGGUCUGAGAGGAUGAUCAGCCACAUUGGGACUGAGACACGGCCCAAACUCCUACGGGAGGCAGCAGUGGGAAUAUUGGACAAUGGGCGCAAGCCUGAUCCAGCCAUGCCGCGUGAGUGAUGAAGGCCCUAGGGUUGUAAAGCUCUUUUGUGCGGGAAGAUAAUGACGGUACCGCAAGAAUAAGCCCCGGCUAACUUCGUGCCAGCAGCCGC